CUGUUAAGAACAGAUUUGGUUUAAAAUAUCUUAGUUUUGCUACUUACAUAUAUUUUUUAAACCAUGAUCGUGUGAACACGUUGUUAAGACCUCCCUCUUGCAUGGCCAUGGAAGGGGCCUGGAUACCACUGGGAUCAUACAGUGUGCGCUUUUCUGGAACUUCCCAGAUCUCCAUGUGCCCUCACCUUCAGUGACAGUCUGAGAAGAAGCCAGGUGGGGUUGCUCCCUACAUGGUCGGGGCUGCUGCCAAAUGCCGCUCAUCUCACCGUCACCUGCUGCCUCUCUGCCUGCCCCGUGGCCCAUGGUUCUCUGACAUCUCUCUCUCACUGAGGACUGUCCACUGAGAGGUCUGGAAACAAUGACACUCCUAGAACAAUGAGCACAUCUAGCACCCAGAUCUUGGCUUCUACACAUCAUUCUCUAUUAAAAGAAAGAAGCAUCCCUUGGAGCAAUGGCUGAUUCCAGAGCUGUGGCAGAGAAAUUACCAGAUGAGUCUGGAACAUCUUGCUGUGACAGAA